AGAGUUUGAUCAUGGCUCAGAUUGAACGCUGGCGGCAGGCCUAACACAUGCAAGUCGAACGGUAACAGGAAGCAGCUUGCUGCUUCGCUGACGAGUGGCGGACGGGUGAGUAAUGUCUGGGAAGCUGCCUGAUGGAGGGGGAUAACUACUGGAAACGGUAGCUAAUACCGCAUAAUGUCGCAAGACCAAAGAGGGGGACCUUCGGGCCUCUUGCCAUCGGAUGUGCCCAGAUGGGAUUAGCUUGUUGGUGGGGUAACGGCUCACCAAGGCGACGAUCCCUAGCUGGUCUGAGAGGAUGACCAGCCACACUGGAACUGAGACACGGUCCAGACUCCUACGGGAGGCAGCAGUGGGGAAUAUUGCACAAUGGGCGCAAGCCUGAUGCAGCCAUGCCGCGUGUAUGAAGAAGGCCUUCGGGUUGUAAAGUACUUUCAGCGGGGAGGAAGGGAGUAAAGUUAAUACCUUUGCUCAUUGACGUUACCCGCAGAAGAAGCACCGGCUAACUCCGUGCCAGCAGCCGCGGUAAUACGGAGGGUGCAAGCGUUAAUCGGAAUUACUGGGCGUAAAGCGCACGCAGGCGGUUUGUUAAGUCAGAUGUGAAAUCCCCGGGCUCAACCUGGGAACUGCAUCUGAUACUGGCAAGCUUGAGUCUCGUAGAGGGGGGUAGAAUUCCAGGUGUAGCGGUGAAAUGCGUAGAGAUCUGGAGGAAUACCGGUGGCGAAGGCGGCCCCCUGGACGAAGACUGACGCUCAGGUGCGAAAGCGUGGGGAGCAAACAGGAUUAGAUACCCUGGUAGUCCACGCCGUAAACGAUGUCGACUUGGAGGUUGUGCCCUUGAGGCGUGGCUUCCGGAGCUAACGCGUUAAGUCGACCGCCUGGGGAGUACGGCCGCAAGGUUAAAACUCAAAUGAAUUGACGGGGGCCCGCACAAGCGGUGGAGCAUGUGGUUUAAUUCGAUGCAACGCGAAGAACCUUACCUGGUCUUGACAUCCACGGAAGUUUUCAGAGAUGAGAAUGUGCCUUCGGGAACCGUGAGACAGGUGCUGCAUGGCUGUCGUCAGCUCGUGUUGUGAAAUGUUGGGUUAAGUCCCGCAACGAGCGCAACCCUUAUCCUUUGUUGCCAGCGGUCCGGCCGGGAACUCAAAGGAGACUGCCAGUGAUAAACUGGAGGAAGGUGGGGAUGACGUCAAGUCGUCAUGGCCCUUACGACCAGGGCUACACACGUGCUACAAUGGCGCAUACAAAGAGAAGCGACCUCGCGAGAGCAAGCGGACCUCAUAAAGUGCGUCGUAGUCC
rnacentral:rRNA from 1 species